AUUGAACGCUGGCGGCAGGCUUAACACAUGCAAGUCGAGCGAGCGGCGGACGGGUGAGUAAUGUCUGGGAAACUGCCUGAUGGAGGGGGAUAACUACUGGAAACGGUAGCUAAUCCCGCAUACCAUCCGAUGUUCCCAGAUGGGAUUAGCUAGUAGGUGGGGUAAAGGCUCACCUCGGCGACGGUCCCUAGCUGGUCUGAGAGGUUGACCAGCCACACUGGAACGGAGACACGGGCCAGACUCCGACGGGAGGCAGCAGUGGGGAAUAGUGCACAAUGGGCGAAAGCCUGAUGGAGCAAUGCCGCGUGUGUGAAGAAGGCCUUCGGGUUGUAAAGCACUGUCAGCGAGGAGGCGUUACUCGCAGAAGAAGCACCGGCUAACUCCGUGCCAGCAGCCGCGGUAAUAC
rnacentral:rRNA from 1 species